AUAAGAACGAGAGACGUGAAGCUACCCAAUAAGUAACAAAAGACAACUUGUCAGUUCCAAGAGCUAUCCUUUAUUUUCCAAAAAAAGAAAAAUACACAAAGCAACAAAAUACAGCCUUAAAUUCUUAUAGGUAUGGCGACAGGAAAAUUUUACAGCGGUGAUCAUCGAACUUGUUGCUUAUCGCCGAACUUGUUGCUUCUGCUAUGGCGACUGGAGAAUCAGACGAUUCAUCACUGUUAGUCAAUCUAUUCUAUUCAUUUGGUGAUGAGGAUAUGGACUAGGGUCCUUAAAGGUUACGCAACUCCAUAUAUUUUAUGAGACAGCUAUCGACGUAGACGAGGACUUCCAAUCUAAAGAUCGUGAAGUUGAUUGUACUGGUGAGCCUCAUAUUGUUUUGCACAACGAAAAUUUAUCAUCUAUUGUCGUCCUUUAAUUUAAACUCUUAGAAAUGCUCAUUUGGUUAGUAUUAUUAGUACUUUGGUUAUCAUAUGACUUUUUGUUGAGGUGUGUGGUCAUCUCAUCUAAAAGAUUAAGCUAUUAGAGAAAGCACACUUUAUUUACUUAAUUGUCUCUUCAACACGCCCUUCCACGCGUAGGCUUCAUUCAUUUUUGUCAUUGGCCAAGCACAUAGAAAUUCCUUUUUAUAAUGGUGGCGGUGAGACUCGAACUUAUGACAUAUGCCGCCUCUGAUAUCAUAUUGAAGUCGAGACCAUCUAAUUUAAAAGUUUAAGUUGUUAGAGAGAGCACACUUUAUUUACUUAAUUGUCUCUUCGACACUUUUAAGUGUGCAUUAAACUUUCUUAUCAUAUUUUGGUGAUGAACCUAGUUUUAUUGUGUUACAAACGAGAGGUUGGUGCUGGUGGUGACUUGUUUUGACUGAUUCCUAUUGUGUUGUUUAGUUUUAGCUUGAGACUGGAAAUUUGGAUAGCUCUACAUAUAGGGGAAAUUCUGUCCGAUUUUCUGUGAAAUCCUUAUAAGAUCGACUUGGUAGGGGCUCUACCUUGAGCAGGGGUCAUGUACCUAAGUUGGAUCGUGACUGCAUUUUCUCAGUUCAAAGGACUGAGAUGCAAAAAUAAAAUUGGGUUUCCAAAAUGGAAGUAAUGCUGCAAAGGUGGAGGACGGAGUAUUACUUCAUAUUUAUUUACCUGGGUUUGUAGAAUAUAUGCAAGCUUUCUUGAUACUUGAUAUGAACCUCAGGAUGACUCCUCUUUUUAAUGCCACGAAUUUCGUAAAGCAUUGUUCGUCCAGCUAAUGAUUUGCUGCUUUCCGAAUAUCAUUAUGAUUGUUUGUGUAAAAAUGAUGAUCUGCUCAAUAGGUUCUUUGACAGAUAUAUGUGGAACGACACCAUGUUUUGUGAUAUUAAUUAUACAGUGAGCAGUGUCUUCUAUUGGAGAUGAUCGUUUGAUAUGAUAAUUAUACACUGAGAAAUGUGUUUUUUAUUGGAGAAGAAUGUUUGAUAUGAUUGUCUUUCAUUGUUGAAGUGUGUCUCUUUUAUUGAAAAAGAUUGUUCGUUAAUAGAAAGGAGGAGAUCUAAUUGUAUCAACGAUAUUUUUUUGAUAAUGUAACUGUUGUAAUGAUAUAAUAAAGGCCAGCAAGGUUCUGCCCG